rnacentral:lncRNA from 1 species
AUGUGGGUCAUCUGGCUCCGGAGCUCAUGUUGUAAACUGCAGUGCUUGCCUGCCUCUCUCAGGACACCAGAAGUCCCACUCUUGAUGAGCCUGGCUGAUGGGUCCCGGAUCUUCACUGGAACUUCCCAGGCACCACCACAACCGUCUCGGGCUAGAAGGGGAACGUCCCAUCACUUAGCCGUACUUCAUACAACUGUCCCCACUGUUGUCACUGGCAACUGGAUCAGCCUCUUCCUGCUGAUGGAGCGUCAUUAUCUGGCCCUGCUGCCAUGGAGACCCAAAGGAAUCAGGUGAAGAGGACCCCGGAAGUCAAGUUUUUGAUUUGGAAGGAUGGGGUAUUCUUAAUUAAUGGCCCUACAUUUUCACGGGACUCAUCAUCUGAAAAAGAAAGUAAGUGGAAAAUCAUGGCCCCAUUUCUCAGGCCUGAAAAAUGUGUAGUGACAAGAGGACAAGAGAUGAAGGUUUUUAAAGCAAUAAAUGUCAUUUUGUUUCUCUUCUGAAUUUGUUG